GCAAGUUCUCCAGCAGGGGAUGACAGGAAGUGUGAUCCUCUGAGCCCUGCACCUUCACGGUUCCAUGACGUUCUGUGAAGGCAGGAGGUGGAGGAGACCCCGGGGGACCAGGAACCCCCAGACCUGCCGUGUUUAGUUAUUGAUUUUGAGAGAGCGAGCGAGCGCCGAGAAGGAGCAGGCUGGAGCAGAGCGAGAGGGAGAGAGAAUCCCGAUGUGAGCUGUCAGCUCGGGGCCCGACGCGAGCUCCGUCCCAUGACCUGAGCCGGCACGGAGAGUCGGACGUCAGCAGAGGCACGAAUCUUUUGCCUUUAGUUUCGCCAACACCGCUCACUCUGCUCGGGGGUCCCCUGGGGAGGGGGGCAAGAGGGAAACCUCAGCGUCCUGUGCCUUCUCCGCCCUGGCGCCUGCCCCGAAGGGACCGCGGUGUCCGUCUGGGCUGUGCCCCCAAAGCAGCAGAGACCAAGAGAAAAGACUGGCCAGAGGGCAGAGACACUGGCCAUGUGCUCCGGAGCCCGACUCAGCUGACGUCGAGUCCCAGAGCCAGCCCUUGGCGACUGCAGCCGUGUGGUCUCGGGCGAGCAGGUUCCUUCUCCGAAUCCUUGUCUUCAACGAAAGGGAGUCGUGUCUAAUUAUUAAACACCGGGCACCUAGGAAGCCCUGAUCUGUA